rnacentral:rRNA from 1 species
UAGGGAAUCUUGCGCAAUGCGCGAAAGCCUGACGCAGCCAUGCCGCGUGAAUGAUGAAGGUCUUAGGAUUGUAAAAUUCUUUCACCGGGGAAGAUAAUGACGGUACCCGGAGAAGAAGCCCCGGCUAACUUCGUGCCAGCAGCCGCGGUAAUACGAAGGGGGCUAGCGUUGCUCGGAAUUACUGGGCGUAAAGGGCGCGUAGGCGGAUAUCUAAGUUGGGGGUGAAAUCCCGGGGCUCAACCUCGGAAUUGCCUUCAAAACUGGAUAUCUUGAGUUCGGGAGAGGUGAGUGGAACUCCGAGUGUAGAGGUGAAAUUCGUAGAUAUUCGGAAGAACACCAGUGGCGAAGGCGACUCACUGGCCCGAUACUGACGCUGAGGCGCGAAAGCGUGGGGAGCAAAC